CUGGAUCAAUCCAGACCAUGCUCACCCCAAAUUCCUCCAUAUAAAAGUUUGUGUUUGGUCAAAUUUUAUUAACAAGUAAAUUUUUGUAAUGAAUUGCAGUAUAAAGUGCUCAAUAAUCAGAUUGAAACUCAAAAAAAAAAGAAGAGAAAUGUGGAAGAAAUACACAGAAAUCUACUACAUCAAGUAAACUCAAAAGAGGAGGAUCCACAGUAUGGUCUAGUCGAUAAUGGAGUGGAUUACAACUCUAUUCUCGGAUUCUCAAAUGGAGGCCAUGGU